UACGGAGGAUGCGAGCGUUAUCCGGAUUUAUUGGGUUUAAAGGGUGCGCAGGCGGGCUAUUAAGUCAGUGGUGAAAUCCUGCAGCUUAACUGCAGAACUGCCGUUGAUACUGAUAGUCUUGAGUUUGGUUAAGGUAGGCGGAAUGUGUAAUGUAGCGGUGAAAUGCUUAGAUAUUACACAGAACACCAAUUGCGUAGGCAGCUUACUGAGCCGACACUGACGCUGAGGCACGAAAGCGUGGGGAGCGAACAGGA
rnacentral:rRNA from 1 species